AUUGAACGCUGGCGGCAUGCCUUACACAUGCAAGUCGAACGGCAGCACGGGAGCAAUCCCGGUGGCGAGUGGCGAACGGGUGAGUAAUACAUCGGAACGUGCCCAAUCGUGGGGGAUAACGCAGCGAAAGCUGUGCUAAUACCGCAUGAGAUCUACGGAUGAAAGCAGGGGACCGCAAGGCCUUGCGCGAAUGGAGCGGC
rnacentral:rRNA from 1 species